rnacentral:rRNA from 1 species
AUUGAACGCUGCGGCAGGCUUAACACAUGCAAGUCGAGCGAGCGGCGGACGGGUGAGGAAUGCUUAGGAAUCUGCAUAUUAGUGGGGGACAACAUCCCGAAAGGGAAGCUAAUACCGCAUACUAAUAGAUGAGACUAGUCGGUUUAGCUAGUUGGGUGGGUAAAGGCCUACCAAGGCGACGAUCUGUAGCGGGUCGGAGAGGAUGAACCGCCACACUGGGACUGAUACACGGCCCAGACUCCUACGGGAGGCAGCAGUGUGGAAUAUGGCCAAUGGGGGGAACCCUGAUCCAGCCAUGCCGCGUGUGUGAAGAAGGCCUUCGGGUUGUAAAGCACUUUCAGCGUGGAGGCGUUACCCGCAGAAGAAGCACCGGCUAACUCCGUGCCAGCAGCCGCGGUAAUUC